GGCUCAGGACGAACGCUGGCGGCGUGCCUAAUACAUGCAAGUCGAGCGGGGUUGWUUAGAAGCUUGCUUCUAAWCAACCUAGCGGCGGACGGGUGAGUAACACGUAGGCAACCUGCCCACAAGACAGGGAUAACUACCGGAAACGGUAGCUAAUACCCGAUACAUCCUUUUCCUGCAUGGGAGAAGGAGGAAAGACGGAGCAAUCUGUCACUUGUGGAUGGGCCUGCGGCGCAUUAGCUAGUUGGUGGGGUAAAGGCCUACCAAGGCGACGAUGCGUAGCCGACCUGAGAGGGUGAUCGGCCACACUGGGACUGAGACACGGCCCAGACUCCUACGGGAGGCAGCAGUAGGGAAUCUUCCGCAAUGGGCGAAAGCCUGACGGAGCAACGCCGCGUGAGUGAUGAAGGUUUUCGGAUCGUAAAGCUCUGUUGCCAGGGAAGAACGUCUUGUAGAGUAACUGCUACAAGAGU
rnacentral:rRNA from 1 species